rnacentral:tRNA from 1 species
UCGGUGCUCGUCCAAUGGUAAGACUCUGGACUCUGAAUUCAGAAAUUGAGGUUCGAAUCCUCAGCACCGAGCCA